rnacentral:rRNA from 1 species
AACGAACGCUGGCGGCAUGCCUAACACAUGCAAGUCGAACGAGACCUUCGUGCCUAGUGGCGCACGGGUGGUUAAGGCCUGGUAACCUGCCCUUAGGUUCGGUAUCACUCCCCUUAAGAUGUGCUAAUACCGGUUAAUCUCAUCGGACCAAAGAGUUAUUGCCUUUGGGUGGGCCUGCGUUGGAUUAGCCGGUUGGGAGGGUAAACGCAGACUAAGGCGACGAUCCAGAGCUGGUGGGUGAGGAUGAUCAGCGAGACUGGGACUGAGACACGGCCCAGACUCCUACGGGAGGUAGCAGAGGGGAAUAUAGGACAAUGGGCGAAAGCCUGAUACAGCAAUGCCGGGAGAGUGAUGAAGGGCUUAGGGUUGUAAAGCGCUUUUACCCGAGAUGAUAAUGACAGUACCGGGAGAAUAAGCUCCGGCUAACUCCGU